CCUUCAGCAAUAAAAACAUGGCCCUUUCUCCCCGCUCUCGGGCGGUUAAUUUUAACCCGCAGAUCGCAGUUUCAGCGGACUAACACUCCUCGAAGACCAUGCCUCGCCUCUGCCUUCUUAGGAUUCAGCUUGGGGUGGUCCGUUGACUUCUCCGGCUUGUCUCAAAGAUGAAACCUGCACGAUUGAGAACACCUGGCGCGGACAAUGAAAAUGCGAAUGGUUCCCGGACUCUCUUGCUCCUCUCCUACUCAGAUCGGCCUAUCAAUUUCCAAGCUAAAAUGGCUCGACAGGUGUGAAUGGGGGAUUCAAGAGGUUUUGUUUUGCUUUGUUUUACCCCCAGAGGAAAUCAGCUUAGCUAUAACACGAUGCUAACAACCCCGUUGGCUUGUAUCGGCCUCAUCCAAGAUCUUGGGAAGGCUCCCAGGCAAUGUGUUCAUGUGUUCAGCUGUAUACAUCUGCAAAAUUUGUGACAGCAAAAUUUUAACCAUAACCAAGGUUCGAUUCCAGAAGCUUAUACACGGGCUGCCACAUCCAGUAAAGGCGGCAAGAGUGCAAAUGACCUACUCCCCACCCGGACACCAGGGAGUGAGGGGAGAAUCACAAGUGGAAACUUUGUUGUCCCUGUAGUUGGAGGGAAGCACACUUUAAAUCCUUCAACUAAGAUCCACUGGAGGGCAAGCCGGGUGCUAGCAGUCAGUAAUACAGCCUUAAUACCGCCUUAAAAUCAUACAUUAAAAUUGCCGGAGCUAAAGAAGGUAGUAGUUGGAUCUUGGGAGGUGUUCUUCAAAGCAGGCCUCAGUGGACUGGAUACAGCAGCUACAGAGUAGCUCUUGAUUCUUCCUUAUUGAUUUGCUAACUGAGGGCAUGAUUAAGAGAAGCAGACCUUAGUGUUCCUAGAAUGCUCCUAGACUGAUGUUCUUGGGCUAGGGUAAGACGGAUCAGAACAAACCUCAAGAACAUUUUCAGUAAUGAAGCGUGGAAGACAGAGAACCAAAGAACAUCAAACUCCCUUCUUAGCACCAAAAGUGGAAAUUGACUGGUGCACUGAGACCUUAUUCUCCUAGCCUUUUCUGAGAAGGCUGUCUUUGGUUUCCAGUAAGAGAAGACGAAAGGGCACCACCAGGAGGGAAGCCUGCAGCUUUGUUGGACACAAGACCCUGACAUUGAAAAAAUGGAUGUGCUGUUACCUCUUUCUCCAAUCUAUGUGUGGUUCCUGCAGCCCCUCUGGCAACCAAACUGAAUGGAUUGGAGGUUUUGGGGUAGAGGGGGUUAAGCCCCUGUCCUGCUGCACCUGCACUGGGCUGACCCAGAGAACUACAUGUUCAGGAAGAGUGAGUUCCUGUCAUCUUGCACUUAUCUCUCCACCUGGCCGAGUCUGCACUGAAUGAUAUUCCGUGGUCUGGAUGUGCCACAGUUUGUUUAUUCACCUACAGAAGGAAAUUUUGGUUGUUUCCAAGUUUGGGCAAUUACGAAUGAAGCUGCUAUAGACAU